UACGUAGGGUGCAAGCGUUAUCCGGAAUUAUUGGGCGUAAAGAGCUCGUAGGCGGCUUGUCGCGUCGGUUGUGAAAGCCCGGGGCUUAACCCCGGGUCUGCAGUCGAUACGGGCAGGCUAGAGUUCGGUAGGGGAGAUCGGAAUUCCUGGUGUAGCGGUGAAAUGCGCAGAUAUCAGGAGGAACACCGGUGGCGAAGGCGGAUCUCUGGGCCAUUACUGACGCUGAGGAGCGAAAGCGUGGGGAGCGAACAGG
rnacentral:rRNA from 1 species